rnacentral:rRNA from 1 species
GACGAACGCUGGCGGCGUGCUUAACACAUGCAAGUCGAACGGAAAGGCCCUGCUUUUGUGGGGUGCUCGAGUGGCGAACGGGUGAGUAACACGUGAGUAACCUGCCCUUGACUUUGGGAUAACUUCAGGAAACUGGGGCUAAUACCGGAUAGGAGCUCCUGCUGCAUGGUGGGGGUUGGAAAGUUUCGGCGGUUGGGGAUGGACUCGCGGCUUAUCAGCUUGUUGGUGGGGUAGUGGCUUACCAAGGCUUUGACGGAUAGCCGGCCUGAGAGGGUGACCGGCCACACUGGGACUGAGAUACGGCCCAGACUCCUACGGGAGGCAGCAGUGGGGAAUAUUGCACAAUGGGCGGAAGCCUGAUGCAGCAACGCCGCGUGCGGGAUGACGGCCUUCGGGUUGUAAACCGCUUUCGCCUGUGACGAAGCGUGAGUGACGGUAAUGGGUAAAGAAGCACCGGCUAACUACGUG